rnacentral:ncRNA from 1 species
GCUUCACUGUUCCAUGGGAUAGCUUUGGGCCUUUCCUGCGCAGCUUAGGUGGAGCCUUCCGGCGGGGGGGGGGGGGGGGGGGGGAGCCAUCAGUGAGACCACUCUGCAAGGGCUAGAAUUCUAACCUUGUGUCAAGACCUAGGGGCCAAGGGACAGUCUCAGGCAGACAGUUCCUAUGGGGCGUUUCCUCGGGGCCAGACGAAGAUUAGACCUCGAGUACAAAGGCAGAAGGAAGCUUGACUGCAAGAGCCACCCGUCGAGCAGGGACGAAAGUCGGCUGUAGUGAUUUGACGGUGCCGUGUGGAAGGACCGUCGCUCAACAGAUAAAAGUUACUCAAGGAUAACAAGUUGAUCUUCCCAAGAGCUCAGGAUUUAUGUGUGAUUGGGGACAACAAGCAUGCUACCUUUUUUAAUUCAUUCUCAAACUGAAAAUAAAUUGUAUAAGAAAUUAGGGGUAAUGCAGCUUGAAAGUAGAUUUUGAAAUUGAAUUUAGAUACAAAUUUAUUGAUGUAAUAUUGUAUAUUGAAUAAUUCAAAUAUAAAUUAGUUUGGAGUACAAAUUUGAUGAUAUUAUGUAUUGAAUGAUUAUAAUACAAUCUUGAUGAU